UACGUAGGGGGCUAGCGUUGUCCGGAUUUAUUGGGCGUAAAGAGCGUGUAGGCGGCCAGAUAGGUCUGCUGUGAAAACUCGAGGCUCAACCUCGAGCUGUCGGCGGAAACCAUUUGGCUAGAGUCCGGAAGAGGAAAGUGGAAUUCCUGGUGUAGCGGUGGAAUGCGCAGAUAUCAGGAGGAACACCGGUGGCGAAGGCGGGUCUCUGGGCAGUAACUGACGCUGAGGAGCGAAAGCGUGGGGAGCGAACAGG
rnacentral:rRNA from 1 species